rnacentral:rRNA from 1 species
GACGAACGCUGGCGGCGUGCUUAACACAUGCAAGUCGAACGGAGCGAAUGAAAGCUUGCUUUUAUGAGCUUAGUGGCAAACGGGUGAGUAACACGUAGACAACCUGCCGAUCAGAUGGGGACAACAUUCCGAAAGGAAUGCUAAUACCGAAUGAAGUGUGGGGGAGGCAUCUUCCCUACAUGAAAGAUGGCCUCUAUAUAUAAGCUAUCACUGAUCGAUGGGUCUGCGUCUGAUUAGCUGGUAGGUAAGGUAACGGCUUACCUAGGCGACGAUCAGUAGCCGGUCUGAGAGGAUGAACGGCCACAUUGGGACUGAGACACGGCCCAGACUCCUACGGGAGGCAGCAGUGGGGAAUCUUCCGCAAUGGGCGCAAGCCUGACGGAGCAACGCCGCGUGAGUGAAGAAGGUCUUCGGAUCGUAAAGCUCUGUUGAAGGGGACGAACGUGUAUAGUGCAAAUAGUGCUAUAUAAGACGGUA